GUGCUCGCUUCGGCAGCACAUAUACUAAAAUUGGAACGAUACAGAGAAGAUUAGCAUGGCCCCUGCGCAAGGCCAGAAAAAUAAACGACCCAAUCAAAAAAUGG
rnacentral:snRNA from 1 species